rnacentral:rRNA from 1 species
GAUGAACGCUGGCGGCGUGCCUAAUACAUGCAAGUCGAACGGGGAGUACUAAUUUCGGUUUUUUACUCCUAGUGGCGAACGGGUGAGUAACGCGUUGGUGACCUGCCCCGAAGCGGGGGAUAACAGUUCGAAAGGACUGCUAAUACCCCAUGUGGUCGUACAGGUUAGAGGCUGAACGACUAAAGGAGCAAUCCACUUCGGGAGGGGCCUGCGUCCCAUCAGCUAGUUGGUAAGGUAACGGCCUACCAAGGCGAUGACGGGUAGGGGACCUGAGAGGGUGGUCCCCCACACUGGCACUGAAACACGGGCCAGACACCUACGGGUGGCAGCAGUAGGGAAUAUUGCACAAUGGGCGAAAGCCUGAUGCAGCAACGCCGCGUGCGCGAAGAAGGCCUUCCGGGUUGUAAAGCGCUUUUCUGGAGGAAGAGGAAGGACGGUACUCCAGGAAUAAGGAUCGGCUAACUACGUG